rnacentral:rRNA from 1 species
AUUGAACGCUGGCGGAAUGCUUUACACAUGCAAGUCGAACGGCAGCACGGACUUCGGUCUGGUGGCGAGUGGCGAACGGGUGAGUAAUGUAUCGGAACGUGCCCAGUCGUGAGGGAUAACGUAGUGAAAAUUACGCUAAUACCGCAUACGAUCUAUGGAUGAAAGCGGGGGAUCGCAAGACCUCGCGCGAUUGGAGCGGCCGAUAUCAGAUUAGGUAGUUGGUGGGGUAAAGGCCCACCAAGCCAACGAUCUGUAGCUGGUCUGAGAGGACGACCAGCCACACUGGAACUGAGACACGGUCCAGACUCCUACGGGAGGCAGCAGUGGGGAAUUUCGGACAAUGGGCGAAAGCCUGAUCCAGCCAUUCCGCGUGCAGGAUGAAGGCCCUCGGGUUGUAAACUGCUUUUGUACAGAACGAAAAGGUUUCUACUAAUACUAGGAGCUCAUGACGGUACUGUAAGAAUAAGCACCGGCUAACUACGUGCCAGCAGCCGCAGUAA